ACCUCGGGGGGUAGAGCACUGGAUGGGUAAUGGGGCCCCACAGGCUUACUGAUCCUAACCAAACUCCGAAUACCCGGGAGUACUAGAUGGCAGACACACGGCGGAUGCUAACGUCCGUCGUGGAGAGGGAAACAACCCUGACCUCCAGCUAAGGCCCCUAAUUCAUGGCUAAGUGGGAAAGCAGGUGAGACGACCAAAACAACCAGGAGGUUGGCUUAGAAGCAGCCAUCCUUUAAAGAUAGCGUAACAGCUCACUGGUCUAAACAAGUUGUCCUGCGGCGAAGAUGUAACGGGGCUCAAGCCAUGAGCCGAAGCUGAGGAUGCACAUAGUGCAUGGUAGCGGAGCGUAGUGUG
rnacentral:rRNA from 1 species